CAAUGGGGGAAACCCUGACCGAGCAACGCCGCGUGAAGGAAGAAGUAAUUCGUUAUGUAAACUUCUGUCAUAGAGGAAGAACGGUGGAUAUAGGGAAUGAUAUCCAAGUGACGGUACUCUAUAAGAAAGCCACGGCUAACUACGUGCCAGCAGCCGCGGUAAUACGUAGGUGGCGAGCGUUAUCCGGAAUUAUUGGGCGUAAAGAGGGAGCAGGCGGCACUAAGGGUCUGUGGUGAAAGAUCGAAGCUUAACUUCGGUAAGCCAUGGAAACCGUAGAGCUAGAGUGUGUGAGAGGAUCGUGGAAUUCCAUGUGUAGCGGUGAAAUGCGUAGAUAUAUGGAGGAACACCAGUGGCGAAGGCGACGAUCUGGCGCAUAACUGACGCUCAGUCCCGAAAGCGUGGGGAGCAAAUAGGAUUAGAUACCCUAGUAGUCCACGCCGUAAACGAUGAGUACUAAGUGUUGGGUGUCAAAGCUCAGUGCUGCAGUUAACGCAAUAAGUACUCCGCCUGAGUAGUACGUUCGCAAGAAUGAAACUCAAAGGAAUUGACGGGGGCCCGCACAAGCGGUGGAGCAUGUGGUUUAAUUCGAAGCAACGCGAAGAACCUUACCAGGUCUUGACAUCGAUCUAAAGGCUCCAGAGAUGGAGAGAUAGCUAUAGAGAAGACAGGUGGUGCAUGGUUGUCGUCAGCUCGUGUCGUGAGAUGUUGGGUUAAGUCCCGCAACGAGCGCAACCCCUGUUGCCAGUUGCCAGCAUUAAGUUGGGGACUCUGGCGAGACUGCCGGUGACAAGCCGGAGGAAGGCGGGGAUGACGUCAAAUCAUCAUGCCCCUUAUGACCUGGGCUACACACGUGCUACAAUGGACAGAGCAGAGGGAAGCGAAGCCGCGAGGUGGAGCGAAACCCAUAAAACUGUUCUCAGUUCGGACUGCAGUCUGCAACUCGACUGCACGAAGAUGGAAUCGCUAGUAAUCGCGAAUCAGCAUGUCGCGGUGAAUACGUUCUCGGGCCUUGUACACACCGCCCGUCACACCAUGAGAGUCGGUAACACCCGAAGCCGGUGGCCUAACCGCAAGGAAGGAGCUGUCUAAGGUGGGACUGAUGAUUGGGGUGAAGUCGUAACAAGGUAUCCCUACGGGAACGUGGGGAUG
rnacentral:rRNA from 1 species